GACGAACGCUGGCGGCGUGCUUAACACAUGCAAGUCGAACGAUGAAGCCUAGCUUGCUAGGUGGAUUAGUGGCGAACGGGUGAGUAAUACGUGAGUAACCUACCUUUAACUCUGGGAUAAGCCCGGGAAACUGGGUCUAAUACCGGAUACGACCAAUCUCCGCAUGGGGUGUUGGUGGAAAGCGUUAUGUAGUGGUUAUAGAUGGGCUCACGGCCUAUCAGCUUGUUGGUGAGGUAACGGCUCACCAAGGCGACGACGGGUAGCCGGCCUGAGAGGGUGACCGGCCACACUGGGACUGAGACACGGCCCAGACUCCUACGGGAGGCAGCAGUGGGGAAUAUUGCACAAUGGGCGCUAGCCUGAUGCAGCGACGCCGCGUGAGGGAUGACGGCCUUCGGGUUGUAAACCUCUGUUAGCAGGGAAGAAGAGAGAUUGACGGUACCUGCAGAGAAAGCGCCGGCUAACUACGUG
rnacentral:rRNA from 1 species